rnacentral:rRNA from 1 species
ACGCACGCUGGCGGCGUGCUUAACACAUGCAAGUCGAACGGUGAAGCGCCUUCCUUUUUGGUGGGUGUGGAUGAGUGGCGAACGGGUGAGUAACACGUGAGUAACCUGCCCCCUUCUUCUGGAUAACCGCAUGAAAGUGUGGCUAAUACGGGAUAUUCUGGGUCUGUCGCAUGAUGGGUCUGGGAAAGAUAUUGUUUCGGUGGGGGAUGGGCUCGCGGCCUAUCAGCUUGUUGGUGGGGUGAUGGCCUACCAAGGCGGUGACGGGUAGCCGGCCUGAGAGGGUGGACGGGCACACUGGGACUGAGACACGGCCCAGACUCCUACGGGAGGCAGCAGUGGGGAAUAUUGCACAAUGGGCGCAAGCCUGAUGCAGCGACGCCGCGUGAGGGAUGGAGGCCUUCGGGUUGUGAACCUCUUUCGCCAGUGAAGCAGGCCUGCCUCGUUUGUGGGUGGGUUGACGGUAGCUGGAUAAGAAGCGCCGGCUAACUACGUG